CAAGAGAAAGAAAUAAGGGGCAUCCAAAUCAGUAAAGAGGAAGUCAGACUGUCACUGUUUUCCAGAAUCUACAAUGAACUCAAACAAAUCAGUAAGAAAACACAAUCGCAUCAAAAAGUGGGCUAAGGACAUGAAUAGACAAUUCUCAAAAUAAGGACAAACAAAUGGCCCAACAAACAAGAAAAAAUGCUCCCCAGCACUUUGGGAGGCCAAGGUGGGCGGAUCAUGAGGUCAGGAGAUCGAGACCAUCCUGGCUAACAUGGUGAAACCCCGUCUCUACUAAAAAUGCAAAAAAAUUAGCUGGGCGUCGUGGUGGGCACCUGUAGUUCCAGCUACUCGGGAGGCUGAGGCAGGAGAAUGGCGUGAACCUGGGAGGCGGAGCUUGCAGUGAGCGGAGAUCGCGCCACUGCACUCCAGCCUGGGCAACAGAGCAGCAGAUCAAGACCCCGUCUCAAAAAAAAUAAAAAAAAAAUAAAAAAUAAAUGCUCAAUAUCACUAAUGAUCAGGGAAAUGCAAAUCAAAACCGCAAUGUGAUACCACCUUACUCCUGCAAGAAUGGCCAUAAUAAAAAAAUCAAAAAACAGUAGAUGUUGGCGUGGGUGCAGUGAUCAGGGAACACUUCUACACUGCUAGUGGGGAUGUAAACUAGUACAUCCCCACCUACAUGUGGAAAACAGUGUGGAGAUUCCUUAAAGAACUAAAAGUAGAACUACCAUUUGAUCCAGCAAUCCCACUACUGGGUAUCUACCCAGUGGAAACGGAGUCAUUAUACGACAAAGAUACUUGCACAGGCAGGUUUAUAGCAGCACAAUUCACAAUUGCAAAAUCGUGGAACCAAUGCAAAUGCCCAUCAAUCAAUGAGUGAAUAAAGAAAUUGUGGUGUAUAUAUUUGAUGUAAUACUACUCAGCCAUAA
rnacentral:lncRNA from 1 species